ensembl:lncRNA uncharacterized LOC114848778
UUUUUACUUCACAUGUGUUUCAGGUGAUUGAAGUGUGAGCGUCUGCGUAUGAAACCGUGCAGGCAGUUGAGUUUGCAACAAACUGCUAGAACUACUCUAAUUUCUAUGUAUAGCUUUGGCUCAUCUCUAAAUAUGUGAUGAUAGAAGCGAAGACUUCAUCAGCAUCUUACGUGUGAUUCUGACAAACCACAUGAACUACAAGACACAUGUAGAGUCACAUUUGAUGCAGGUUGGACUCAUAAUAAUCAUAAUAAUCCCACGAGCGAUGAAAGGUUGCACUUAUCACUGUUUUGUGCAUUUAAACAUUAUCAAACUACGCAGAGUUGUUGUCACUGAUGGUUUCAGCCAUAAUGUUUCUAAUUUAUCUCUCAGUUUUACCUUUGGGGCGUUAUUACACUGCAUGAAAGUGGAAGCAGCCCCAUAAGCACUUCCUUCAUAAAACAGGUCACAUCUGCUUCACCGUCUGUGACAGCUGAGAGUUUGAGGUGUCACAAUCUGAAGCCAGAUCAGAGGAUCGUGUGUGUCGUCGUCCCCUCAGGUCACUGUACACUGCAGCAUCAGCUGAUCCUGGACCAGCAUGGAUGGAUGGACUCUGAGCUUUGUUCUGCUUCUGCCAUUAACUGUGUGUUAUGGCAGUGAAGUGACGCUUGUGAAAACUCUCGGCAGUGAACCAGAUGUGACUCCUCUCUGCACCAAUGACUCAAUGACUGUCAUCACACUUAUAAUGUGUAGGAUCAGCAGAGAGAGGAGCAGAGGAGAACAGUGUCAGCUGCUGUAUGAAUAUAAACAGGGCUUUAAACAUCGAUGUGGCUCCAGGUUCAAACUCAUAAUAGAGAAUCAGACUGUGUUCCUCCACCUGAGCAGUUUAACAGCAGAGGACAGUGGGAACUACACCUGUGAGUGUUCACAUCUUGAUGGGACAUACAUUGUCCAUCUCAACAUCACUGUAGAAGGUAAACGUACUUUGUGUACUUUUGUUCUGCUACUGUACACACAGUACAGUGUUUACUGUACUAGGUUACUACAUCAAAGAGUAAAUAGAGCAGCACUACCAAUAGUUUGUGUGUGUUUUAAAGACACAGCGGAGGAAAACCCCAACCAGAGGAUCCUUCUUUGUGUUUUGCUUGGUGUAAUAUUUGUCACUAUUACACUUGGCGUGAUUCUGAGAUUCCCCUACCACAGUAUAGUAAGCAGACGACUAGAAGCACAGAGGAGUCCACCUCACACGGUACCGUACACGUUACACCUUCAUCAGUGGUGCAGUAAAGGUCACGUUAAUCAUGUGUCUCUCUUCAGGCGACAUCGACAGAAGACAUCGAGCCGUACAGCACGUUCACACGGAGAGAUUGUGGCCUGUAUUCAACCGUCAAACUGCAAAACAUGCAUCAAUGCUGAUAAUUAGAACAUGUGUAGUACAAGAUGACAAUUAUUUCUGUCUCUGUUUGCAGCCUUUUCGUGUUUUGGUGAAGUUAGAUGUUGUCCACUAGGUGGCAGUAUAUAGCUGCCUCUGCGUCACAUGAUGUUUGACACAGUUCAUUAACCUGCAGUGUUUCUAUGAAGCAAUAAACAAGCAGUUUACUGUCA